rfam:Triticum aestivum genome assembly, contig: Triticum_aestivum_CS42_TGACv1_scaffold_148555_2BS
AUAAUACUCCUCCGUUCGAAAAUACUUGUCAUCAAAAUGGAUAAAAAAGGACGUCUUUAAAACUAAAAUAUGUCUAGAUACAUCCCCUUUUGUUCAUUUUGAUGACAAGUAUUUUCGGACGGAGAGAGUAUAAA